UGAAUGAAUGCGUAGGGGUUUGAAACGACAUGAGGGUUUCUAUGGAGAUGCGACGCAACUUGUCUGAAGCCACUGGCGCCACCUGACGGCCUAACCAACACAGAUAUUUGCAACAGAUCAGCAUAUUUGAAUGCUUUCUGAAGGAUCAUUUGACACUGAAGAUCUAUCUACUGAAGUGUAU